rnacentral:rRNA from 1 species
CAGCACCUCAAGUGGUCAGGAUGAUUAUUGGGCCUAAAGCAUCCGUAGCCGGCUCUGUAAGUUUUCGGUUAAAUCUGUACGCUCAACGUACAGGCUACCGGGAAUACUGCAGAGCUAGGGAGUGGGAGAGGUAGACGGUACUCGGUAGGAAGGGGUAAAAUCCUUUGAUCUAUUGAUGACCACCUGUGGCGAAGGCGGUCUACCAGAACACGUCCGACGGUGAGGGAUGAAAGCUGGGGGAGCAAACCGGAUUAGAUACCCGAGUAGUCC